rnacentral:rRNA from 1 species
UACGUAGGGGGCAAGCGUUGUCCGGAGUUACUGGGCGUAAAGCGCACGCAGGCGGUCUCUUAAGUUUGGAGUGACAGUUGGUGGCUUAACUGCCAAAGUGCUUCGAAAACUGAGAGACUUGAGGGCUUCAGAGGGACACGGAAUUCCGGGUGGAGUGGUGAAAUGCGUAGAGAUCCGGAGGAACACCAAAGGCGAAGGCAGUGUCCUGGGGAGGUACCUGACGCUCAGGUGCGAAAGCCAGGGGAGCGAACGGG